UUAUGGUGGAGAGUUGGUAGCGCAUGAGACUCUUAAUCUCAGGGUCACGGGUUCAAACUCCACAUUGGGUGAA